AUGGGGCCGCGAACGAAGUGGGUCGGGCGUGUGCAAUCCAGCGCAAAGUGCGGCUCAAUGCUCUAGGUGCCUGUGAAGGAAAAGUGACGGAGACGGGGACACGAUGUGAUUUGGGCGCUUGAGUAGACUUUGGGUAUGUUGCGGUUGACACACGUAUAUUAAACGAUGCACGUCAUCACGCAGAAAGAGGGAUCCACUCGAUUACUUAAAUGCUAGUACCUAGUGAGGAAACCAAUUAUUAUUAUUCUGCUAAGCAACUUUUGUGCAGACCCACGACAGGGAUUGUUGUUAAUUGUGAUUGAACGACUUUUCUUUCCCAAAUCAGAAUCAAAAACCAAAUUUUGGCUGAAACAAACGACUAAGCUGUUGGUCUUUUAGAACUCUCUCUCUCUCUCUCUCUUUUUCAUUCGGAGACAGAAAAAAAGGACUUGAGAGUGAACUAUCUAAUCUGUCUGUCCGUGACGCAGAUAACAGGUACGGCUUUGGUGCUGGAUGAAAUCAUCAAUCACGUACAGUCGCUUCAGAGGCAAGUUGAGGUACACUACUCGCUCCACCACAAGUGUUGUCGCUCGCACAGCUGUAUCACUGGAAUUCACCAAAAAGCCCCUCAGUUGUUAUUAUUAGCUUAAGAUAAGAUAAACGAGAGAAAUAAUGAUGAGAUCACCGAUUUCUCCACUGUGGUUCGCAGUUCCUGUCGAUGAGAUUAGCGGCCGUGAACCCGAGGAUCGACUUUGGCGGCCUCGACAGCUUUUUAUCGGCGGAGGUAACUUCUCGUUCUCCGUUCUGCGCAUCUUUUC
rnacentral:lncRNA from 1 species